rnacentral:rRNA from 1 species
AACGAACGCUGGCGGCAUGCCUAACACAUGCAAGUCGAACGAGACCUUCGGGUCUAGUGGCGCACGGGUGCGUAACGCGUGGGAACCUGCCUUUAGGUUCGGAAUAACUCAGAGAAAUUUGAGCUAAUACCGGAUGAUGUCUUCGGACCAAAGAUUUAUCGCCUUUAGAUGGGCCCGCGUUGGAUUAGCUGGUUGGUGGGGUAAAGGCCUACCAAGGCGACGAUCCAUAGCUGGUCUGAGAGGAUGAUCAGCCACACUGGGACUGAGACACGGCCCAGACUCCUACGGGAGGCAGCAGUAGGGAAUAUUGGACAAUGGGCGAAAGCCUGAUCCAGCAAUGCCGCGUGAGUGAUGAAGGCCUUAGGGUUGUAAAGCUCUUUUACCCGAGAUGAUAAUGACGGUAUCGGGAGAAUAAGCACCGGCUAACUCCGUG